GCGAAGCUGGCGGCGUGCUAAUAAUGCAAGUCGAGCGGACCAAAUCGGAGCUUGCUCUGNUUUGGUCAGCGGCGGACGGGUGAGUAACACGUGGGCAACCUGCCCGCAAGACGGGAUAACUCCGGGAAACCGGAGCUAAUACCGGGAUAACACCGAAGACCGCAUGGUCUUUGGUUGAAAGGCGGCCUUUGGCUGUCACUUGCGGAUGGGCCCGCGGCGCAUUAGCUAGUUGGUGAGGUAACGGCUCACCAAGGCGACGAUGCGUAGCCGGCCUGAGAGGGUGACCGGCCACACUGGGACUGAGACACGGCCCAGACUCCUACGGGAGGCAGCAGUAGGGAAUCUUCCGCAAUGGGCGAAAGCCUGACGGAGCGACGCCGCGUGAGCGAAGAAGGCCUUCGGGUCGUAAAGCUCUGUUGUGAGGGACGAAGGAGCGCCGUUCGAAGAGGGCGGCGCGGUGACGGUACCUCACGAGGAAGCCCCGGCUAACUACGUGCC
rnacentral:rRNA from 1 species